rnacentral:rRNA from 1 species
UACGUAGGGACCAAGCGUUGUUCGGAUUUACUGGGCGUAAAGGGCGCGUAGGCGGCAAUUCAAGUCAUCUGUGAAAUCUCCGGGCUUAACUCGGAACGGUCAGAUGAUACUGCUUUGCUCGAGUGCGGAAGGGGCAAUCGGAAUUCUUGGUGUAGCGGUGAAAUGCGUAGAUAUCAAGAGGAACACCUGCGGCGAAGGCGGCCUUCUGGACGAUGACUGACGCUGAGACGCGAAAGCGUGGGGAGCAAACAGG